CUCUGCGCCCGUCACUCUGCGCCCGUCACUGUGCCCUUCACUCUGUGCCUGUCACUCUGCGCCCGUCACUGUGCCCUUCACUCUGUGCCUGUCACUCUGCGCCCGUCACUCUGCGCCCGUCACUGUGCCCUUCACUGUGCCCUUCACUCUGCGCCCGUCACUGUGCCCGUCACUCUGCACCCAUCACUGUGCCCGUCACUCUGCGCCCAUCACUGUGCCCUUCACUCUGUGCCCAUCACUGUGCCCGUCACUCUGCGCCUGUCACUGUGCCCUUCACUGUGCCCUUCACUCUGUGCCCGUCACUCUGCGCCCAUCACUGUGCCCUUCACUCUGUCCUUCACUCUGUGCCCGUCACUCUGCGCCCAUCACUGUGCCCUUCACUCUGUCCUUCACUCUGCGCCCGUCACUCUGCACCCGUCACUGUGCCCUUCACUCUACACCCGUCACUGUGCCCUUCACUCCGCGCCCGUCACUCUGCGCCCAUCACUCUGUGCCCGUCCCCCGUGCACCCUUCAGUGCUGUGUGUUACUGUGGCAGCAGCGGCCACAUGGGGCCACAUGGGGCCACACGUUCUCAGCAGGGCGGUCACACGUGAACAGCUCGUGUUUGUCUCUGAGCCCUGGAGACACGUUUGCCAGCCGUCGAAACUCCAGUCACCCGCCACUGCCAGGGCUCGAGGGCGGGGGGAGGAGGAGACAGGAGAGGGGAGAACGCCGUCACGCCCCGCCAGGCUCCCCAGCUCAGAGCAGCCCCAGAGCCGUCGGGGGAUGCACCGUGGGGACGGAAGCACGGCGGGGACCCCUCUGUGGGACCGGCCCAGGUCUCACGAGGACCCAGGGAAGCGCCCCUCAACAGGACACAGUGGGCAAUGGCGUGGGCAGGAUGGGGUCGGGGCAGGCGCUCCUUGGCGUUCUGACGGUGGCUCCACACAGGCCCGCCACAAUGCCCCACAGCAAACUUGUGCAGAAGAAAAUCUCGCAGUGCCACCGUCCCACUGCCGGGCGCUAAAUUAGUUCCCAGCUUCCCACGACACCCGGCAGCAGUGGGAGUGCCAGGGCAGGUUGUCGCACAUUCCUUCUGGACUGUUCUGUGUUUUCCGCAGGAGAAUGCUCUAUCGCACUUGGUGCCAUUAAUGUGCACCUAACAACCUGGCACUCAUCACAACCCUUUGUAGACAAAUUGCUGUUUAAACUGGAAAUAAUGUAAUACAUACACCCCAUUUUUCACCCAGCACUAGUUAGCAUAAAAUAAUUUGUUUUACCCAUAAUACAGUACCCUUCUCAACGAACAAAUUGUCUUUAAUUUUUAAAGGGAUAUUUAUCAACCAUACAUUAAAUAUAACGAUGAAUGAAGCAAUACAAAGCCUGUGCCCGACGCCCAGUUUAGGAAAAGUGGGUGAUCACCCCGGCGUCCACCCCCCUCCGCUUCGCAGGCUGCCGUCUCUGGGCCUCGUGUGCGCCUGGGCUGGGCCUUCCCCAUGGCUCUGCCCCACACCUUCCCAUCCCCAGUCGCGCCCGGCAUGCCUUUGAAUUCAACGCCAUGGCCAUUGUCUCCCGCACACAGGCCUCAGAGCCCCACUCCUUCUCCUGACGUUUGAGUUCCUGAGAUUCCACCCAAGUGGCUGUGAGCUCUGUGGUCAUUCUCGCUGCCAGGCUGUGUCUGUUCUAUGAAAUCACAGUUCCACUCUGCUGGUGGGGGCAGCAGUGGCUUCUGGACUCUCGUUCUUUCUUUCUUCUUUAUUUUUGAGGCAGAGUCUUACUCUGUCGCCCAGGCUGGAGUGCAGUGGCGCAAUCUCGGCUCACUGCAAGCUCCGCCUCCCGGUUCAAGCUAUUGUCCUGCCUCACCCUCCCAAGUAGCUGGGAUUACAGGCGCGUGUCACCACACCCGGCUAAUUUUUGUGUUUUCAGUAGAGACAGGGUUUCACCUUUUUGGCCAGGCUGGUCUCGCGUGAUCCGCCCGCCUAGGCCUGGGACUCCUGUUCUUGUUUGGUGCAGCUGCUGCUGGCUGCCUCCUUCUGGUUUCCAGCUGUGCCUGAACCAGCUCGCCCCACUUCAGUGGUGGCAAAGUGCCCUUCCUGGGGGCGGGCAGCCCAGGACCCACAACUGGGCCCCCAUAGGCUUCAGCAGCUCUGUGUGAGCAGCCCUGGCCCCUGGCCCUAUGCUGGAGGCAGCGUCCUCCCCAUUCCGACGUCACAGAGGAAACAAAUGUAAACCGCCCAGCAGCGGCCCCCGAGUAACUCAGCCUGAGCGGAACCCGAGGGUUCUCUGUGGGAUUUAAGUGGCACCGUUUCUGUCAGACAGAAAAUAAACAAAAUUUAUGGUGUUUGGAAAGCAUCAGAGUUGAACGAGAUCAUGGCACCCGGAGCCGCUUGAGAGCCGCAGUGAUUGAGGGCUGGGCAGAGGCGACGCGGCUGGGGACAGGCCAGGAAUGUCGGCCGUCGCCCCAUUCAGGGAGCACAGGGCGCCCUUCCCAGGGCCUUGGGGCUCGGAGGAAAUUCAACCCUGUCAAGCUCUGAGGCCUUCGGCGCAUUUAGCUGUUGAAGGAAGACCCACCGUGGUGGGCUCCAACGAGCAUUUUCACAUUCACAGUGAGGCCAGCCCGUUCCCGCUCCCACCAACCCAUUGCAGGCCAGAGAAAAGCCAGACGCCUGCUCCACGUCCCUCUCACACUUCUCCGCUCUUCACAACAGGCAGCCUGGCCAGCCCCUUCUCACCUCCCUGGGCACUGUGGCUGCAACCCCAGGCCUGGCAAGGUCACGGUGACCUCCACACCGGCCCAUGCAAUUCCAGGCUUCCCAUCACCCCUGAGAAGGUCAAAGGCCCGGGUUGCUCAGCCAGGCUGCUCCCUCCACCAUCCCCUCUCAGUUUCCUUUGGCUCACUCCCCUGCGGCCCAGCCCCUGCCUCUGUGGCCCGUGCUCUAGGCCUGCUCCUGCCCCAGGGCCUUUGCGCUCCCCACCCCCACCUGGAUACCUGGAUGGCCACAUGGGCCCUCACCCUUCAAGAGGCUCACCCCGUGCUCAACGUAAAAUCACACCAGGGCCCCAGCCUCCAGCGUGCUGCUCUGCCUGUCCCGCCCCCACCCCCGGCUUGCUCUUUGCAUCCCUGCCCUGCUCUCCUGCCAGCCAGGGCUCCUGGAGCAGGGGUUCUGCCUGCGGGUUUGCUGUUUCACCGCCUCAUCCCGGCACCCAGAACUGUAGACGCACACGGGGCUCCAUGUGUGGCCUUUACGGAGCUUGAAUUCAUCGCUCACGGCAGAGGGGAAGGCAGGUGAUGAGCAGGCAGCAUCCAAAGCCUCAAAGCUGUCAGUGAGUCUCCAAAUGGUUUUGUUUGAACAUAACAUUAAAAGUCUACGUUGUGGCUUGGGCUGAAUUAGAAGGUACAGCACCACACACACACAUGCACACGUGAACAUAUGCCACACACAAGAACAUAGCCUCCACACACGCACACAUGGGCAGACACAUCUGUGAACACACCACAGACACACAUGUGCACACAAGAUACACCGCACACACACGCACCCUCCCCCGUGGGCUCCUGGCAGCAGGGGCUGUUCCCACCACUCAGGUGCUUGCCCCACCUGGGGAACUGUCCAGUUGUCACCAACUCACUUCUAAGCCAUCCAUCAGGGCUUCCCAGCCUUAACCCCAGACUGCAGGCUCCGCCUCUCCCUAUCCAGCCUGGCGUGCAGGGUGUGAUGUGUAAAGGUUCAGCCCCUCCCUGUCCCUUCUUUCCCCACAUCUAGGCUGUCCUCGCCAGGCCAUGGACUUCUGCUGUUGCCCUGCUCGGCUCCUUUCCUCCUCCUCCUCCUCCCCGUAAAACGUGGGGCUCACCCUGGCGGGAACUCCCCAAGUAGCGGGGUGGAGUUCCAGCCUGGAUGAAGCGGAGGACACAGAACCAGGUCUGAGCCAAUCAGCAUGGCAGUAGGCUCAGAGAGAGAUGCACGGCCCAGUCAGAGCCAGGAGAGGGUGGCUGGGCUCCGGGAGACAAGACGUGAGGCUGGAGCGGCUGCAGCCUCUUGCAGACAGUGGAGGCUCAGGCUAAGCCCGCAAGGCCAAGAGGAGCGUGGAGAGCUGGCAAGACGCUGGCCCGAUGACAUUGCCUGAGCCAUGAAUCCUACUGGCCAACGCCAGGACUUCCUCAGGCCUCGUCAUUGCAGGGACACUUCCCUCCCUUCCUCCGUCUCUCUCCCCACCGCCUCUCUGUCUAGCUUGAGCCAAUUUGAGAUGGAUUUUCUGUCACUUGCUGUUGAAGGAGUCCUGCUCCAGCACAGGUGGAUUUCGUGCAAAUGAAACCCACAGUAUUCAGGUCUGUGUGGAAGCGCUUGCCUGUGAUCGGCACGUGCCCUUCGCCUUGUGAACAGGAGCCGUGGGUGAUACGAGCGCCUCGGCUGGGCUGCCAGUGUCCAUCUGAGGUCCGUCUGUCUUCAGGUGUGUGCUGCGUCUGUGGGUGAGACGCUGUGUGUGCAUGUGCGUGUGCCCAGGUGUGUGUGUGGGAGAGGGGGGAGCUGGAUCCCAGGCCUGAGAAGGCUCUUCCUGCUUAGAGAGUCCAGGGCUGCCUGGCAUCGAGCAGGCUCUGCCCCACAGGUCCCAGGGAAUCCACACUGCAGCAGGAAGCCACAGGGCGGGAACCUCAGCUUUCUGGUUUGGCUUCCAUGAACCAAGGACAAGACUGGCUUGAAGUUGUGCCCAUAGAGGCCCACAGAGCUACUUCAAAGGCAAAGACCGCCCAGUGGGAGUGGGUCCCCCUUGAGCUCACCCGAGGGUCCCACUCCCCCUGAGACAUUUCCUUCCCAGGGCACAGACCCCAGGCCUGGACGGAGCCAGGCAUGCGUGAAACGGGAAGAUGUCAGUUGGGGAACCGGCUGCAGCUCCCACCCUUUGAUGAGAAACAAAACCUGGUAGCUGCCCCUCGGAAAAGCCACAUGGCUCGCCGCACGUCUCCACAAUGGUGCCUGGCUUCUCCCAUCCUCAAUGUCCACGUUCCCCACUUCUCAUCACAGACCCGAAACGCAGGAGGCUUUAGACAGAGCACCUUCGUCAGGAAGCCGGACUGGGCUGAGGUACCUGCUCCCAGCUCCUCAAAGCCUGCAAUAGCACACCCACCCAUGUGGGACAAGAUGCAGCUUCGUGGCUGCCUGCAGGGGAUGGAAGACUCCCACAGACGCCUGCUAACAUCACAUGCCCGUGUGUCACCGCGAUGCCACGUCCAGUCUGAGCCAUUCCUCGCCCAUGUCCCUGUCCUUGUUGCAUAGCCGGCCUCCAGCGUGUGGCUUCAUGUAGUGACCGGACUGUCGUGUGACUUUCUGCCACGGUUGCCAGGGUUGGCACUGAGGCAGACCUGCUGGGGGAUUCUGGGUUGCAGCUGGAGUGCUGGCACUGGCUGGACGCCUCUCUUCGUGCUGCCCAGGGUCCGUCCACGUCGACUCCCCGUGUGAGGCGUGUGGGCUGCCUCACAGCCCGGCGGUUCCAGGACUGCUAAGGACUCCCCUGCAGCCCCGGCUCUGCUACCAGCACUGGGCUAGAAGCAACUCACCUUCCCACAGCCGCCCUGAAGGCACGUAGCAUCACCCUGGAUGUCCUGUCUUGAUGGGUGCAGAAUCCCACGGGUUUCAAGGGCAGGAACGAGGUUCUGGAAGGCGUGUUUCCAUCCAUCCUUGGAAAAUACCAUCUGCCACAAUGGGCUCUGUGAAGAAGUGAGAUUCUGGGAAAACGCACACCGUAUAACAGGAGCCAGUGCACGGCGGCCCAGGGGCCAAGUCCUGCCACCAUCUGUUGCCAUGGAUGCAGGGGCCCGGCUCCCAGCCAUGCCCGCUCACAUGGGACUGACCAUGGCCACCCUUCUGCCACAACAACAGGGUUGGGGAAACUGAUAACUAUCCCUCAACAGCUAUCCCCACGGAGACUGUGGGGCCCAGAAGCCUCAAAUGUCGACAUCUGGCCCUUUCUAGACAAAGUGUGCUGAGUCCCAGGACGUCAGCCAUGAGGGAGUCGCUGCCCAGGCAUGAGGCAGCCUGGCGAGGGAGUCGCUGAGCAGGUGUGACUGCAGCCUGGCGCCUGAGCUGCAGCCGGGACUCCGGCUGGGGAGACACUUCUCCAGGGGCUGGGGAGCCCCUGCCCCGAGCAUGGCUCUGAGCCUCUCUUCUGAAGCUGAGGCCCUGCCUCUCAGUCAGCAUCCAACAGUGGCAGUCACAGAAAUCCAGGUCAGCCUGGGGAGGCAGACAUGCUUUGGUUCACACAAUGGCAGGGCCUAGGGAGGAGCUUCAGGUUCUGCUGGACUCAGGGCCUGGGAUGUGCACUCAGGGGAGCCCCUCACACGAGGCCUCACUCACACCCAGAUUCCCUGCACAUCCCAGCCGAGGCUUCACUCACACCCAGGCUUCCUGAGCGUCCCGGCCAAGGCGGUCCUCAGAGGCCCUAGCUCUGUGGUCUGCACAUCUGUGUCCCUCCCACGGUCACAUGUUGAAGCUGUGACCCUCUAACCAGUGACACUAUCAGGAGGCGGGACCUUUGGGAGUGACAAGGUUGUGGGGUGGAGCCUCGUGAUCGGGAAAUGGGAUUCAUGCCAUAUUCAAGGGAGUCCCGAGCUGCCUCGCCCAUUUCACCCCAGGAGGAUACAAGGGGACAGCUGCCGACAACCUGACAGAGACCCUGUGCCAGGCCCCACCCCACCGGCACCCUGACCUUGGACUUCUGGCCUCGAGAACGCUUGAACACGGCGUCACACUCCUCCUACCACAGCGUAAGCACCGCGUGACGCUCUUCCUACCACAGCAUGGGUGCCGCCUCACAAGACCCUGUUUAAACCUCCUUCCUACCACAGCGGGGACGCCGUGUCGUGCUCUCUGGGUGCGUCUCAAGGUGUGGAUAAUCCAGACUUCUGAGUUUAAAAAAAUACCAAAAAUAAAAUAAUUAGGCAUCCAACAUACAAGUUAUUUGAGGACUUAAAAAUAGCACAGCAGGCUGGAACACGAGGCCUCUAACCCGAUGGUGCCAUCUACACCCACAGCCCCCGCCCGGGAGGGUCUGAGCCAGGCAGCCUCCCCGGGAGCCGGUGCUGACACAGCCAGAGAAACCAUGCCAGACCCGGGCCCCGCUGUCCCCAACACCUGCAGGCCAGUGACUCAGGGCGGUGGAGAAAGCCCAGAGGAAGUGGAGGCGGAGCUGCCCUCCCUGGGGCCGGGCCCGCCAUCUGGACGUGUCUCCAGCCGCUGGUUUAGGGGAAUCGGGAGGGCUCACUUGAGCGUCCCUUCUCUGCUCGCUCUUCCAACCCGGGACAGAAGACCUGACUGCUGCCCACACCAAAGGGUGUUCCCAGGGCACACGCCGCUCGGGCCCGGGCAGGCAGGGCCGCUCCUCGUGCUUGGGGAGCCUGGAGCUGUCGGCCCUGCAGCUGAGGCCACGGGAGGCCAGGGACAUGCAAGCUCGGUGCCCGAAGUCACUUCUAGAGCGGGUUCGGUGUCCCUGAAGGUCCAACUCUGCCCCUAGGCACCACAGAAAAUGCCACUAGCCCCUGGUGUGGACGCUGGGCCCCCGGGGAGGCCUCUACCCCGUCACCCAGCCCGUCCCAACAGGACUCAGCCUCCAGUGGCUGCCAUCAGACCAGGGCACGGUGACUGUCACCGCAGAGGGCCGCGUGUGGGACGGCAGGGGCCGCGGGGUCUCUGUGCUCCCCAGUAACCCCGGUUUCCGCCGGGGCGGCCCCGCUCCCCAGCCCCCUCCAAUGCGGAUUUAGUCUCGUUUCCCACAGGGAACGUGUAACAAGGCUUGACCAAUCAGUGAACGCCAUUCCCCAGGCUGUUGGCUGUGAUUGGGUCCCAGACAAGCACGUGACCCACUAUGGGCCAAUGAAAGUCGCCCGAGACUGUCGCUUGCAUGGUUGCUGGGACGGUCCAGAGUCCUCAGUGGGGACGGUGGCUGCAGCUGCCACACCUGGAGCCUGAGGAUGGCGCGGGCCAGUUCCUCCCUGGGAUCUCCCCUCCCUGAGCCCAGGCUCUGCUCAGCUCAGCCCCAUGCUGUCCCCUGUGCGACCGCUGUGGGCUUCCUGCCAGGCUCCUCCGCCCUCGGGCUUCUGUUGGGUUCAGUCUUGGGAGGCAGCCCCAGAGCCUGAAGGGUGGAAGGAAUGAGGGGCAUCCCAGAUCCCCUCCCCACCGUCUUGGCAGUGGUUUCUUCUCUCCAGAGUUACUGUCCCUACCCCCUGUCCUCUCUCUGCAGCUCCAACUCUUGGCUGGGCACCUGUGAUUCUCGCCCCUGUCCCUUCAGGCCGUGGAGAGAAGAACAUUCCAGUGCGGUCACUUCCUGGAUCAAAUUCCUGGAUGCCCAGUGUCCACCGGGUGUCCUGGAUUCACCGUGGUCACUGCCUGGAUGCCCAGUGUCUGCCGGGUCUCCUGGAUCCACUUCCUGGAUGCCCAGUGUCCGCCGAAUCUCCUGGAUUCACCGUGGUCACUGCCUGCAUGCCCAGUGUCCACCGGGUCUCCUGGAUUCUGCCCAUGUCCACGUGAGGGCACCAUCAAUUUCCUGCGAGGAUCCUAAGGGAGUCAAGGUACAUCUAACCCGAGAGCAGUCAGGGGUGGACUAUCCCCUAGAUCAAGCCAUACCUGAAGCCCCACCUUUCAGUUGCCUGAGUCAACAGAGUCCCUUUUUGGGUUGAGCCAUUUUUAAUUGGAUUUUAUGUCUUAUUGACUGACCCAUCCGGAUGGCCAGCAGUAAGGGGUUUCUUUUUGGAGGAUGAGGGACACCAAUGUGUCUUCUCAUUGAGGAGAUGCCUGAAGGACAGGAGGCACUCACAGGAGGCCCUGGAGACAGAUGUGCCCCACAGGCAUCCCAAGGACACCUGCGGCCUGGCAGCAUGGAGACUCUGGGUGAAAACAGAACCUUGUGAGCUGCCCUGUCUGUGUCUGUGAAGCAAAGUGUCUGGAAGGGGUCUGCGUGGAAGCUUCCGAGAGCGGUUAGGGGAAGGGGGCCCACGUCCUCCCCAAAGGGCUGGAGAGGGAGGCAGGCUGUGCCCCCAGCCCAGAGUCGGGAGGAGGCCGGCAGGCAGCAGCUGUGGAAAGGAGGCGGAGCCCCCCAACUCCUGAGCCAGCAGAGGAAGGAGUGGGACAGAGCACGCCCCAGAGGGAGACGAGACCCCGGGGAAGAGACCCCUCAGGGCGGCCCCCCAGCCCCUCCUGGGCUCAGCUUUCAGCCUGCACCCCCGUCUGGUCCCUCAGAAUGACUGGGGUUUCCACUCUUUCUGUAAAAUCUCUAGACUCCAUGUCCCCGCUCUGCCACCACCUACUCUCUGUGGGAUCUCAAUAAGGAGAUUUAACCUUUCUUGCCUCAGUUUCCCCAUGUAUAAAAUGGGACAAUAACAGGCUCUGCCUCUAAGCUCGCUGCAGGAAUUAAGGGAACAGUGCAUGGUCUGCAGCCAGCCCCUUGCAGCCAGCAGUUCUUCAAUGACCCCAGGGAAAGGCCGGGCACCGUGGAGAUGCUUCCCAGCCAUACUCGCUGAGCCGCGCUGGGUUCGGGUCUCUCCACCCAAGCUCCUUUUUGGAAAAUGGUCCCUGGGAAGAUGGAUAAGACCCGGCGUCCACCGGGGUCUGCUUUCUAAGUGGUACGCUGUGAGGGCCGUUGCAGGUGAAUAAUUCCCUGUGAUCUAUUCUGCAGGCACUGGGGAAGCUCCAGGUUGGGUGCGGAGCUGGAGAGACCGUGGGCAGGGCCUGCGAGGGGCAGGCGAGGGGCCAGGAGGCCUUCGCGUUCGAGCUUCUCGGCCACAAGUGCAGGGGCGGGCUGGGCAUGGGGUGUGUGUUUCACUGGUGUCAAAGCCUCCUCACUUUUUUGGGGAAAGAAAUGGGAUAUAAAUACAUGUGUAAAUAUCUAUAUAAAAUUCACAUUCUCUAAUUCAGGAGGCAGAUAGCUGUGUGCCUUCAAACCAGAAUAUCUGUAAACUGGGUUUCUAUCAGUGAGGGUACAGAGCAAAUGCCAGUUCUUUCAAGGUUCACUCCGAUGUCGUCUUCUGUGACAUAAGAACGAAGCUGGGACUGGCCACUCCUGCCAGACUUUAUCUUGGCAGACGGGGUUUCCUGCCGCACAACAGCUGCCUAAAGGCUCAUAGCCAAGAACGGUGCUCGCUCCAGCAGUGAGGCUAGCCCUGACAGCAGAGUUCACCCCCAAAUUUAGGACACACAGGAGCCUUCAAACCCCCCCCACACACACCCACAUGUGCACACAUGUACACACGCACAUACAUGCCUGCACACGUGCACACACGCACACGCGUGCACACACACACGUGCGCACACACAUGCACACGCACACACCGUGCACACUCAGUGCACAGGUCAGCCGACGUGCACCAGCCACUUUCCAAACCGAAGUCAUUCCAGCCCCAAGUCUGUAGCUGGCACCACAUGAAAACACCACUGUGUUCUUACUUAUGGAGCAUGUUUCUUUAAAUUGGCCUAUUUUAAAACUAAAUGCAUUUUUUAUUUGAAAAGGAAUCUUCAUUUCACCGCUGCAAAUGGAAAGCUGGCAUCGCUUGUGUUAAAUCAUGGUAACCAUGAAAAUAAGUGGAAUGAAAAUAAAAUAAUGUCGCACUCUGGAUGUGGUUCAGGUGCGGAAGCCUCCG